CCCCUUUUUGUGAAGCUUAUUAAUUAUAAGUUGUUUGUUGUAGCGAAUCGUACAAUCUUCCGUGUAAUUGUCGAACAAUUGUCAAGCUGGAGCUAAUAAAUACGUAUGUUGGAGUCAAUGUGUACGAAGGCUCGACUAUUUAUGUAGUUGGAGACUACACGGGGGCUGCCACCGCUAAAGCUCUAUCGCCCAUGGUCUUUUUAGUUUUAAAAAUUGGUGGCUGUAAUAAAUGCUCAUUGCUAGAGAGUAAACCACACCUAGAGGGCUCUCUGAUCUUAAUCAAUGAAGAAAUGUAUACUGGAGCGUUUCCAUGUGUAUCUUUAAAAGUAAUAACUCGUAUUUUAAAGUUAAUUCUAAACUAAACUGGUAACAAGUGUAAAGAAACUAAAAUAGGUUUUAUAUGACAAAAACGAGGAGCACAACAAAUAAGCCUAGCUGCUGUGUUUCGUACUCUUUGCAGCUUAUUUAAAUGAGUGGCGGGAAGCCCAUAGAGAAGACUAUUGCAAUAAUCUAUUCUACCCAUUAUACCUAUGAUUUGUACUGAAGAUUUUUUUUCUAUCUAAAGGACUCGUGUGAUGAAUCAAGUGAUGAUGAAUCUGAUGCAAGCAGUGAUAACGAAGAUGAGAAAAAGCUGGAAGGUCUAUUUGGUAUUGCUGAUAUUCUUGACGAUCAAUUGAGGAUCCUUUUUGAUUCCCAUGCAUUCCAGGAAUCGAUUGAUAAAUCAAGUGAUGACGAAUCUGAUCCAAGCAGUGAUAACGAAGAUGAGAAUGUAACUCUCUACCACUACACCAAUGACAAUGGAGCUCAGGGUAUCAGUAAAGACAAAAUGAUUAAGGCUUCUACUGACAAAAAUAAUGAUGCAGUUUUUGAAGAAGGUGUCUAUUUGACUGCCAUGGAUCCUUACACCUACAGCAAAGAAGAAAUAAUACGCAAUAACUAUGACGAUGGCCUUUCCGUUCACAAAAGCACUCGAUUUCACGANAAGGCUGACAGUGCUAUUGAAGUUAGUAUUCCAGUGAGCGAGGUGUCCAAGGUCGAUAAUACUGAUCGCGAUGUCUACUUGUACGAUGGGCAUCUCAACCUUGAUGAAUAUGACCACUCCGUAUUGAAAAUUAAUUGACUCGUCAAGCAUGAAUCUUUGGGGUGCAACGAAAUAACUCAAAAUCCCUUAAGACUAUAAACAACAACCGCCAUCUAAGGAGACAAGCUAGUUAUGAGAAAUGAUUUGUUAUAGUCAACGAAACAACCAAAUAGCGACUAUGACACAACGUGCACUCCCGGAAAUUUUGGUAGAUCAAAACACGUUGAAGUAAUAAUAGGUCAUUUAGCUUAAAUCCUUUUUUCUCACUNUUUUCAAACUUAUUCAAUUCGUUUAAGAGUUAUGAUUAAUGUCUCCUAUCAAUAUAUAAUCAAAUCAAGCUAAGGCGCUUUAAGCCCCCUCUACACAAGCAAUUUUUAUGUGGCAAUUUCUAUGUGACAAUUUUCAUUUGCUCGUGUAGAUGACAAAAAUUGCGCGUUGGAAAGCUGGCGUCCUAGUUUUUAUGUGGCAAAUAAAAAUAGCCGCACACCGAAAAUUGACGAGACGACAUAUAAAUGUGGCAACUAUUUUGACGUCAUCUGCGCAUCUAAUUAAACAUGGCGGCUUCAGGAGAGAGAAGAAAAGAACGGCAAAUGAAACUUGAAACCAAAACCGGAAAAAAGUUUUGAAAUCCAUUAUGGUCUGUUUACCUCACUCUUUUACUAGAUUAUUAGCAAAUUCUUGAGCCUCUCUACGUAAUUGGGUUUUCCAGGGUUUUACCCCACAUUUUCUAAGUAUUUUUUGGUCUUUUCUAUUAGUGAUAAAAUAAGUGAUCACUGCAGCAGUAUUUCUAUUUCUUUUCUUUAUUUGCACCAUCUUCCUAAGUACCCUAGCCGGGCUUUCUUUCACAGGCAUCUUCGCUGUCCGAAAUUAUUACUGACUCAAAUUGAAACCAAAUAUUUGUCGAUCGCCUACAUGAGCAAUUAAAAGUUGCCACACAAAAAUUGCUCGUGUAGACGGAGCUUUACAAUUGAGUUGUGAAUAACUAAUUUGCAAAUGCUUCUAUGUAUUAAUAAACCGAACUAUCUAGGCAUGCAUAAUAUGUUCCUAUUCAAAAUCACGUGCUAUUCUCUUGAGAAUAAGGUUCUACUUUUCGUCAGAGUGGCUUUGAACAACAGGGCGCGGUUGUACAAAGCCUGGAUAGCGCUAUCCGGCGGAUAAAUCCUUAUCCAGUGGAUAAGUCGAUACUGUUAUCCAAUAAAUUUAUCCACUGGAUAAGAUUUAUCCGUUGAAUAGCGCUAUCCAGGCUUCGUACAACCCGGACCCAGGAACCACUAACUUAGGGACCAAUUUGAUAAUGCUUUUCUUUUUCCUCAGGAAUUUUGUUUUAGGCCCACCUAACAUUCAUUAGAUUUAUGUGCAAAUAUUAUAUUUUUGGAAAUUGUGAAAUUGAAUAAUUAAAAUUACUAUUUCUUGGUCGAAAUGACCAUAUGAGG
rnacentral:lncRNA from 1 species